AAGGUGAAAAGAACCCCUAUUAGGGGAGUGAAAUAGAACCUGAAACUGCAUGCCUACAAUCAGUCGAAGCUCUUUUUAGAGUGACGGCGUACCUUUUGUAUAAUGGGUCAGUGACUUAAUUUAUUUAGCAAGCUUAAGCCAUCUAGGUGUAGGCGCAGCGAAAGCAAGUCUUAAUAGGGCGAAUAGUUAAAUGAAUUAGACCCGAAAACGAAUGAGCUUACCAUGAGCAGGUUGAAAGCAAGGUAACACUUGCCGGAGGACCGAACCAGUUGACGUUGAAAAGUCUUUGGAUGACUUGUGGUAAGGGGUGAAAGGCCAACCAAAUUCGUAGAUAGCUGGUUUUCCGCGAAAACUAUUUAGGUAGUGCGUUGAAUAAAUAGAUGUUUAGAGGUAGAGCACUAAAUGGGCUAGGGGGAAGAGAUUCUUACCAAACCUAAUAAAACUCCGAAUGCUAAACAUUGUUCUUCAGCAGACAGACUGUGGGUGCUAAGGUCCAUGGUCGAGAGGGAAAGAGCCCAGACCACCAGAUAAGGUCCCCAAAUUAUGAUUAAGUGUGAAAGGAUGUGGAAAUUCCUUAACAGCCGGGAGGUUGGCUUAGAAGCAGCCAUCCUUUAAAGAUAGCGUAACAGCUCACCGGUCUAAUAGAGUUUCUGCGCCGAAGAUGUAACGGGGCUAAAAUCAUAUACCGAAUCUGUGGAUUUGUAAUUUUUUCGAAAAUUAUAACUGGUAGCGGAACGUUCUGUAAGCUUGUGAAGGGAUACCUGUGAGGGAUCCUGGAGGUAUCAGAAGUGCGAAUGCUGACAUAAGUAACGAUAAAAGAAGUGAAAAACUUCUUCGCCGAAAAUCCAAGGGUUUCUGCGCAAGGUUAAUCCGCGCAGAGUUAGUCGGCACCUAAGGCGAGGGCGAAAGCCGUAGUCGAUGGAAAUAAGGUUAAUAUUCCUUAACCUGAUGGUAGUGACGGAUCUUGUAAAUUGUAAGUUCUUAAUGGAUUGAACUUGCCGUGAAAAGGUUCCGAGAAAUAGCUCCAUCAUAAGACCGUACCCUAAACCGACACAGGUGGAUUAAUAGAGUAUAUUUAGGCGCUUGAGAGAAUGAUGUUGAAGGAACUCGGCAAAAUGCUUCCGUAACUUCGGAAUAAGGAAGACCUUUUUUUAGGCAACUAAUAAAAGGUGGCACAAGCCAGGGAGAAGCGACUGUUUAUCAAAAACACAGGGCUCUGCUAACACGUAAGUGGAUGUAUAGGGUCUGACGCCUGCCCGGUGCUGGAAGGUUAAUGCGAUGGGUGCAAGCUCAUUUCUGAAGCCCCAGUAAACGGCGGCCGUAACUAUAACGGUCCUAAGGUAGCGAAAUUCCUUGUCGGGUAAGUUCCGACCUGCAUGAAUGGCGUAACGAUUUCUCCGCUGUCUCCAACAUCAACUCAGUGAAAUUGAAUUCUCCGUGAAGAUGCGGAGUUCGCGUAGUUAGACGGAAAGACCCCGUGCACCUUUACUGCAACUUUACAUUGGUGUUAGGAAAAACAUAUUUAGCAUAGGAGGGAGACAUUGAAGCAAAGGCGUCAGCUUUUGUGGAGUCACCAGUGAAAUACCUCUUUUGUUUUUCUUGAUAUCUAACUGAUAGCCG
rnacentral:rRNA from 1 species